AGCGAACGCUGGCGGCAGGCUUAACACAUGCAAGUCGAGCGGGCGUAGCAAUACGUCAGCGGCAGACGGGUGAGUAACGCGUGGGAACGUACCUUUUGGUUCGGAACAACACAGGGAAACUUGUGCUAAUACCGGAUAAGCCCUUACGGGGAAAGAUUUAUCGCCGAAAGAUCGGCCCGCGUCUGAUUAGCUAGUUGGUGAGGUAACGGCUCACCAAGGCGACGAUCAGUAGCUGGUCUGAGAGGAUGAUCAGCCACAUUGGGACUGAGACACGGCCCAAACUCCUACGGGAGGCAGCAGUGGGAAUAUUGGACAAUGGGCGCAAGCCUGAUCCAGCCAUGCCGCGUGAGUGAUGAAGGCCCUAGGGUUGUAAAGCUCUUUUGUGCGGGAAGAUAAUGACGGUACCGCAAGAAUAAGCCCC
rnacentral:rRNA from 1 species